UACGGGGGGGGCAAGCGUUGUUCGGAAUUACUGGGCGUAAAGGGCGCGUAGGCGGCCUGCUAAGUCGGACGUGAAAUCCCUCGGCUCAACCGGGGAACUGCGUCCGAUACUGGCGAGGCUUGAAUCCGGGAGAGGGAUGUGGAAUUCCAGGUGUAGCGGUGAAAUGCGUAGAUAUCUGGAGGAACACCGGUGGCGAAGGCGGCAUUCUGGACCGAUAUUGACGCUGAGGAGCGAAAGCCAGGGGAGCAAACAGG
rnacentral:rRNA from 1 species